GAUGAACGCUGGCGGCGUGCCUAACGCAUGCAAGUCGAACGGAGAUUACGGACGGAAGUUUUCGGAUGGAAGACUGUAAUUCUUAGUGGCGGACGGGUGAGUAACGCGUGGGCAACCUGCCCUAUACAGGGGGAUAGCAGCUGGAAACGGCUGGUAAGACCGCAUAAGUCGGUUAAAUCGCAUGAUUUGACCGGGAAAUGAGCAAUCAGGUAUAGGAUGGGCCCGCGUCCGAUUAGCCAGUCGGCAGGGUAAAAGCCUACCAAAGCGACGAUCGGUAGCCGGACUGAGAGGUCGGACGGCCACAUUGGGACUGAGACACGGCCCAAACUCCUACGGGAGGCAGCAGUGGGGGAUAUUGCACAAUGGAGGAAACUCUGAUGCAGCGACGCCGCGUGAGUGAAGAAAGUAUUUUCGGUAUGUAAAGCUCUAUCAAGCAGGGAAAGAUGAAGAACGGUACCUG
rnacentral:rRNA from 1 species